rnacentral:rRNA from 1 species
GACGAACGCUGGCGGCGUGCCUAAUACAUGCAAGUCGAACGCUGAAGGAGGAGCUUGCUUCUCUGGAUGAGUUGCGAACGGGUGAGUAACGCGUAGGUAACCUGCCUGGUAGCGGGGGAUAACUAUUGGAAACGAUAGCUAAUACCGCAUAAUAUUGACUAUUGCAUGAUAGUCAGUUGAAAGGUGCAACUGCACCACUACCAGAUGGACCUGCGUUGUAUUAGCUAGUUGGUGGGGUAACGGCUCACCAAGGCGACGAUACAUAGCCGACCUGAGAGGGGGAUCGGCCACACUGGGACUGAGACACGGCCCAGACUCCUACGGGAGGCAGCAGUAGGGAAUCUUCGGCAAUGGACGGAAGUCUGACCGAGCAACGCCGCGUGAGUGAAGAAGGGUUUCGGAUCGUAAAGCUCUGUUGUAAGAGAAGAACGAGUGUGAGAGUGGAAAGCUCACACUGUGACGGUAUCUUACCAGAAAGAGACGGCUAACUACGUG